ACUCCUACGGGAGGCAGCAGUGGGGAAUAUUGGACAAUGGGCGAAAGCCUGAUCCAGCCAUGCCGCGUGUGUGAAGAAGGCCUUUUGGUUGUAAAGCACUUUAAGCGAGGAGGAGGCUACCGAGAUUAAUACUCUUGGAUAGUGGACGUUACUCGCAGAAUAAGCACCGGCUAACUCUGUGCCAGCAGCCGCGGUAAU
rnacentral:rRNA from 1 species